UGGGAUGUAGCUCAGUGGCAAAGCACUUACCUAGUAAGUACAAUGUCCUGGGUUCGAUCCCCAGUACCAA
rnacentral:tRNA from 1 species